ensembl:lncRNA
GUUCCUGUUCCGGACUUCCCCGCGUCCCGCGUCCGGCCGGGCUCGGGCCCCCUGGCCGGUGCGCGGCGCCCGGGCACCCCGGGCCGGCGGGGACCGGUUCCCGACGCCAUCUUCCUCCCCCGCCCCCACCCUUUUUCUUUUUGGGGGGACCGCGCCGUCGCGGCCCUGGGCUGGCAGCCCUGCGCUCGGGUCCUAUGCCCAGAGGACCUGGGAGUCCGGCUUCGGAGGGAGGAGAAGGGCGAUCUGGCGCCGGGUCCCCCGGGCGCGGGGCAGACGGGCCGCCCCAUUGCACAGAUGCGGAGACUGAGGCCCCCAGAGGCCAAGAUCGCGCACCGGAGAACUGGAGCCCCGCCCCACCACCCCAGCCAGCGAGGCGGGUGUUUCGGAGCCAGGGUCCCCAGACGCCGCCCGCAAGUCCUGGGGUUUCCUCGUCUCACGACUGCUGAUCAUGGCUAUCUCAACUCCCCUUCCCCUGCCUGGAAGAAUGAUGGGGCUGGGAAACCACAGUGUUCAAGGCUGUUUUCUCUCAUAGGAAUUGUUUGUUUAUUUAUGGCCUCCCCAACUAGGGAUCAAACCCGGGCCCUUGGCAGUGAGAGUGCGGAGUCCUAACCCCCGGAUUGCCGAGGAACUCCCAGGAAAUAAUUUCAUUUUAUUUAAAGUUCUGCAGGGGAAAUUCCCUGGCAGUCCAGUGGUUAGGAGUUGGCAGUUUCACUGCUGAGGGUGUGGGUUCAAGCCCCGGUCUGGGAACUAAGAUUCCCCCAAGCUCACUGGAAAAGACCCUGAUGCUGGGAAAGAUUGAAGGUGGGAGGAGAAGGGGACAACAGAGGAUGAGAUGAUUGGAUGUCUUCACCAACUCAAUGGAGAUGAAUUUGAACAAGCUCCGGGAGUUGGUGAUGGGCAGGGAAGCCUGGCGUGCUGCAGUCCAUGGGGUCGCAAAGAAUCGAACACAAUUGAGUGACUGAACUGAACUGAAGCCUCAUGGAGCAGCAAAAAAAAAAACACACACACACAACGAAGUUCUGCGGUCUUGUCCUUUUUUCUGAAGAAGCGUAUGUCCCCACGAAUAACGAAAGAAAUGCACGUAAAACAAUACUGAUACCACCCAACGUGUGAGCCGUUGAUAACACCCCGCACGGGCAGAGCUGCGGAAGCCCUGUCUUCUUGGGCAGCUGUACUGGGAACACACGGAGGUGUCUCAAAACAUGCCAAACGCACGUUCUCUGACCCCGAUCAUUCACGGGGGGACAUUCUGGGCCGGACGGUAAUGUGAGCAAAGGUGUGGGGGCUGGAAGCUCAAGUGUGGACGUUUGCCUUGGAAGGAAGGGAGCUGCUCACCCAGCAGGUGAAGGGACUGGGCUGAGCCCCCCCGAGUGGACCAUGCUUCCGGAGAAGGAGAAUUCUGGAGAGAAGGCCCUGGCUUGAAACCUGGUGGUGGUGGUGUUGUUCAAUGGUUCAGUCGUGUCCAACUCUAUGACCCCAUGAACUGCAGCGCGCCAGGCUUUUCUGUCCUUCACCGUCUCCCGGAGUUUGCUCAAACUCAUGUUCGUUGAGUCCGUGAUGCCAUCCAACCAUCUCAUCCUCUGUUGCCCCCUUCUCCUCCUGCCCGCAA